ensembl:lncRNA DAB1-AS1 DAB1 antisense RNA 1
CUAACCAGGUGUUGGCAAGAAACAGGGACACUGAGACUCUCACACUGCUGGAAGGAAUGUAAAAUGCUAAAACUUCUUUGGAAAUGAGUUCAGUAACUUUUUAAACAGUUGAAAAUAGACCUAUCAUGCAAACCAGCAAUCCCACUUCCAGCUAAGGAAAUAGAGACAAACUACAUAAGUUGCUGAAAAAUCACAGCAAAUAAUUAGCUGAGGAAGAGACUCAAAUCUAUCAGAACUGCUUGACUUUUGAUCCUGAGCUUAUGCGCAUCCAGUGGGCAAGUGAGGGUGCAUGGGUUUGUGAAGACUCCAGCAGUAUGAUUGGGGACACAGGGUCUCCCUAUGUUGCCCAGGCUGGUAUCGAACUCUGUUGCCCAGGCUGGUAUUGAACUCCUGCGCUCAAGUGAUCCUCCUGCCUCAGCCUCCCAAAAUGCUGGGAUUACAGGUGUGAACCACUCUACCCAGCCCCUCCUUGCUCAUUCGUAAUGAAACAACGCUUUGUAAACCGUGAAAGUGCUAUAUAAAGAUAUCUUUAAAAUACCAAAGAAGUCCCUGUAAUUAGAUAUUCUAAUGCUAGCUACUGUAACAAAUAAACCUCAGUAUGACAGUGGCUUACUCCUGUAGAAGUUUACUUCUUGUUUGCAAAUAAAUCCCGUACACUU